rnacentral:rRNA from 1 species
GAUGAACGCUGGCGGCGUGCCUAAUACAUGCAAGUCGAGCGAACAGACGAGGAGCUUGCUCCUCUUACGUUAGCGGCGGACGGGUGAUUAACACGUGUAUAACCUACCUAUGAGACUGGGAUCACUUCGGGAAACCGGAGCUAAUACCGGAUAAUAUAUUGAACCGCAUGGUUCAAUAGUCAAAGACGGUUUUGCUGUCACUUAUAGGUGUAUCCUCGCCGCAUUAGCUAGUUGGUAAGGUAACGGCUUACCAAGGCAACGAUGCGUAGCCGACCUGAGAGGGUGAUCGGCCACACUGGAACUGAGACACGGUCCAGACUCCUACGGGAGGCAGCAGUGGGGAAUCUUCCGCAAUGGGCGAAAGCUUGACGGAGCAACGCCGCGUGAGUGAUGAAGGUCUUCGGAUCGUAAAACUCUGUUAUUAGGGAAGAACAAAUGUGUAAGUAACUAUGCACGUCUUGACGGUACCUAAUCAGAAAGCCACGGCUAACUACGUG